UACGGAGGAUCCGAGCGUUAUCCGGAUUUAUUGGGUUUAAAGGGUGCGUAGGCGGACUCUUAAGUCGGUGGUGAAAUCCUGGAGCUCAACUCCAGAACUGCCUUCGAUACUGAGAGUCUCGAGUCCGGGAGAGGUGAGUGGAACCGCGAGUGUAGAGGUGAAAUUCGUAGAUAUUCGCAAGAACACCAGUGGCGAAGGCGGCUCACUGGCCCGGUACUGACGCUGAGGUGCGAAAGCGUGGGGAGCAAACAGG
rnacentral:rRNA from 1 species